ACCAGAAAGAGAGCACUCCUUUUCAUCCACCCCCGCACCAGAGAGCACCGGGGCAAUAUCCACUCCAGAAUCACUGACUACACCUAGUGCAGAAAGAGAGACCUCCUUUUCAUCCACCUCCUCACCAGAGGCAACUGGAGAAAUAUUAACCCCAGAAUCACUGACUACACCUAAUAAAGAUUACACAACACAAGAAACAGAGAACUCUUCUUCAUCCACUUUCCUGCCAGGGAC